AUGAAUAUGUUAUGUAUCAUGAUGAUCUGUCCACACUCCACGGAUACUUUUGAUGUAGAGCCACGACGAGUUACUAUGCAGGUGGAGCACCUUGAUGAGGAAAAUGUAAUUGUUGAUAAUGAUGAUGUUGCUCCAGAUGCACAGGUUGAUGAUAAUGUUGAUGAUGCUCCAGAUACAGAGGUUCAUGAUGAUGAUGUUGUGCAGCACUCAACCAUGUUUUGCAACGAUAAUUGUGCAGAACAGGUUGAGAACAUCCAUGAGCCAUCCACAUACACUGAAGCAGUUGCUUCCGGUGACCGCGAGAAGUGGAUUGCUGCUAUGCAGGAAGAGAUGUAG
rnacentral:rRNA from 1 species